GCGCUCAUAGCUCAGCCGGAUAGAGCAUUUGAUUGCGGUUCAAAAGGCCAGAGGUUCGAAUCCUCUUGAGCGCACCA
rnacentral:tRNA from 1 species